UCACGACGCGGCUCGUAUGAGGACGGAAUACGGCGAAAUAAAGUGUAUAAUCUUACUCAUAAAAUGGGGUUUGUAAUAUCAUAUCGUUUAUAAUGACAUUUAUUUGCUGUGUGCGCAUAAACUUUUCUCAAGGACAUUUCCUUUCACUCACGAUUCGGAACAGACGAGGACGUCUUUUAGUUUCUAUAUGGGAAAUCUAAAAAAUUUGAACUGCUGUGCAGCAGACCAUGAUGGUGCAGACGCGGAAAAGACCAGAAAGAGAUAUUUUCUUUCACUCACAAAGCGGAGCAGACGGGGAAGUUGGUUUUAACAAGGAAAACACGGUAAAAGCACUUUUGUGAUGCUGCAAGUGGGAGUGGAUUUCUUGCUUAGAUGGAAAGUGCAGAGAACCACAUCCUGUCGUCCUGAAAAAAAGAAAGAGACUACUUUCUCCAAGGAGGUCCAAACGCCAUUGGCACAGACUUUGUUCAGUGAUCAGUAACAUACAUUAAGCCAGGGCCGUCCUUAGGGGGUGCAACUGAUGCAGUUGCACCGGACUCCACACUUGAGGUGUAAACGGACUGAAUGAGCCCCCCCACCCCCCGGGAACGCUUCCUAC